rnacentral:rRNA from 1 species
UACGAGGGGUGCAAGCGUUACUCGGAAUUACUGGGCGUAAAGGGUGCGUAGGCGGUUCGUUAAGUCUGUUGUGAAAUCCCCGGGCUCAACCUGGGAAUGGCAAUGGAUACUGGCUAGCUAGAGUGUGUCAGAGGAUGGUGGAAUUCCCGGUGUAGCGGUGAAAUGCGUAGAGAUCGGGAGGAACAUCAGUGGCGAAGGCGGCCAUCUGGGACAACACUGACGCUGAAGCACGAAAGCGUGGGGAGCAAACAGG